CUUUACAUACUUAUCACUUUCAGGUUUUACCUUCGUCUUCGUUUUAAUGCGCUGUCAUUCGACAGGAUUUCUGCUGGACACGACCCCGACAUAUGCAUGCGUUUACCAGCAGCAGAGCUGCGACGUGUUCAAUGCUUCAUUCAACGUCUGCAACAACCUGCACAAUGCCUAUCAGAUCUGCCGCAAGUUGUGUGGCUUAUGCAGCGUAG